UUACGGCCAUAUCACGUUGAAAUGUCGGUUCCCGUAGGAUCACCGAAGUUAAGAAAGGUCGAGCCUGGUCAGUACUUUGAUGAGUGGCCACUUGGGGGUACCAGGUAAUGUAA